CAUUAAGUAGCUAAAAAGUUAUAGUAUUGGUCUCUUAAACCAAAUUAUGGUAAUUAACAACUACCCUUAAUGA
rnacentral:tRNA from 3 species